rnacentral:rRNA from 1 species
ACAGUGGACGCGAGCAUCUGUGGCCAAGUUUUUAAGGGCGCACGGUGGAUGCCUUGGCACCAGGAACCGAUGAAGGACGUGGGAGGCCACGAUAGUCCCCGGGGAGCCGUCAACCAGGCUUUGAUCCGGGGGUUUCCGAAUGGGGAAACCCGGCAGUCGUCAUGGGCUGUCACCCAUACCUGAACACAUAGGGUAUGUGGAGGGAACGCGGGGAAGUGAAACAUCUCAGUACCCGCAGGAAGAGAAAACAACCGUGAUUCCGGGAGUAGUGGCGAGCGAAACUGGAUGAGGCCAAACCAUAUGCGUGUGAUACCCGGCAGGGGUUGCGCAUGUGGGGUUGUGGGAUCUCUCUUUCACAGUCUGCCGGCUGUGAGACGAGUCAGAAACCGUUGAUGUAGGCGAAGGACAUGCGAAAGGUCCGGCGUAGAGGGUAAGACCCCCGUAGUCGAAACAUCAGCGGCUCGUUUGAGAGACACCCAAGUAGCACGGGGCCCGAGAAAUCCCGUGUGAAUCUGGCGGGACCACCCGCUAAGCCUAAAUAUUCCCUGGUGACCGAUAGCGGAUAGUACCGUGAGGGAAUGGUGAAAAGUACCGCGGGAGCGGAGUGAAAUAGUACCUGAAACCGUGUGCCUACAAGCCGUGGGAGCGUCGCUGUAUGUGCUUGCACAUACAGUCGUGACUGCGUGCCUUUUGAAGAAUGAGCCUGCGAGUUUGCGGUGCGUUGCGAGGUUAACCCGUGUGGGGAAGCCGUAGCGAAAGCGAGUCCGAAUAGGGCGAUUCAGUAGCGCGCUCAAGACCCGAAGCGGAGUGAUCUAGCCAUGGGCAGGUUGAAGCGGAGGUAAGACUUCGUGGAGGACCGAACCCACCAGGGUUGAAAACCUGGGGGAUGACCUGUGGUUAGGGGUGAAAGGCCAAUCAAACUCCGUGAUAGCUGGUUCUCCCCGAAAUGCAUUUAGGUGCAGCGUCGUGUGUUUCUUGCCGGAGGUAGAGCACUGGAUAGGCGAUGGGCCCUACCGGGUUACUGACCUUAGCCAAACUCCGAAUGCCGGUAAGUGAGAGCACGGCAGUGAGACUGUGGGGGAUAAGCUCCAUGGUCGAGAGGGAAACAGCCCAGAGCAUCGACUAAGGCCCCUAAGCGUACGCUAAGUGGGAAAGGAUGUGGAGUCGCACAGACAACCAGGAGGUUGGCUUAGAAGCAGCCACCCUUGAAAGAGUGCGUAAUAGCUCACUGGUCUAGUGAUUCCGCGCCGACAAUGUAGCGGGGCUCAAGCGUACCGCCGAAGUCGUGUCAUUCCAGCAUGUAGGGCCAACGCCCGCUGGGAUGGGUAGGGGAGCGUCGUGUGCCGGGUGAAGCAGCCGCGGAAGCGAGUUGUGGACGGUUCACGAGUGAGAAUGCAGGCAUGAGUAGCGAUACACACGUGAGAAACGUGUGCGCCGAUUGACUAAGGGUUCCUGGGUCAAGCUGAUCUGCCCAGGGUAAGUCGGGACCUAAGGCGAGGCCGACAGGCGUAGUCGAUGGAUAACCGGUUGAUAUUCCGGUACCCGCUGUGAAGCGUCAAACAUUGAAUCAGGCGAUGCUAAGUCCGUGAAGCCGUUCCGGACCCUUCGGGGAAAGGAAAGUGGUGGAGCCGACGGACCAGACUUGUAGUAGGUGAGUGAUGGGGUGACGCAGGAAGGUAGUCCAGCCCGGGCGGUGGUUGUCCCGGGGUAAGGGUGUAGGCCGUGCGAUAGGUAAAUCCGUCGCACAUUAAGGCUGAGACCUGAUGCCGAGCCGAUUGUGGUGAAGUGGAUGAUCCUAUGCUGUCGAGAAAAGCCUCUAGCGAGUUUCAUGGCGGCCCGUACCCUAAACCGACUCAGGUGGUCAGGUAGAGAAUACCGAGGCGUUCGGGUGAACUAUGGUUAAGGAACUCGGCAAAAUGCCCCCGUAACUUCGGGAGAAGGGGGGCCAUCACUGGUGAGAGGACUUGCUCCUCGAGCUGGGGGUGGCCGCAGAGACCAGCGAGAAGCGACUGUUUACUAAAAACACAGGUCCGUGCGAAGCCGUAAGGCGAUGUAUACGGACUGACGCCUGCCCGGUGCUGGAACGUUAAGGGGACCGGUUAGUGCACUUUCGGGUGUGCGAAGCUGAGAACUUAAGCGCCAGUAAACGGCGGUGGUAACUAUAACCAUCCUAAGGUAGCGAAAUUCCUUGUCGGGUAAGUUCCGACCUGCACGAAUGGCGUAACGACUUCUCGACUGUCUCAACCAUAGGCCCGGUGAAAUUGCACUACGAGUAAAGAUGCUCGUUUCGCGCAGCAGGACGGAAAGACCCCGGGACCUUUACUACAGUUUGAUAUUGGUGUUCGGUUCGGCUUGUGUAGGAUAGGUGGGAGACUUUGAACUCUGGACGCCAGUUCAGGGGGAGUCGUCGUUGAAAUACCACUCUGGUCGUGCUGGAUGUCUAACCUGGGUCCGUGAUCCGGAUCAGGGACAGUGUCUGAUGGGUAGUUUAACUGGGGCGGUUGCCUCCUAAAGAGUAACGGAGGCGCCCAAAGGUUCCCUCAGCCUGGUUGGUAAUCAGGUGUUGAGUGUAAGUGCACAAGGGAGCUUGACUGUGAGACCGACGGGUCGAGCAGGGACGAAAGUCGGGACUAGUGAUCCGGCGGUGGCUUGUGGAAGCGCCGUCGCUCAACGGAUAAAAGGUACCCCGGGGAUAACAGGCUGAUCUUCCCCAAGAGUCCAUAUCGACGGGAUGGUUUGGCACCUCGAUGUCGGCUCGUCGCAUCCUGGGGCUGGAGUCGGUCCCAAGGGUUGGGCUGUUCGCCCAUUAAAGCGGUACGCGAGCUGGGUUUAGAACGUCGUGAGACAGUUCGGUCCCUAUCCGCUGUGCGCGUAGGAAUAUUGAGAAGGGCUGUCCCUAGUACGAGAGGACCGGGACGGACGAACCUCUGGUGUGCCAGUUGUCCUGCCAAGGGCAUGGCUGGUUGGCUACGUUCGGAAAGGAUAACCGCUGAAAGCAUCUAAGCGGGAAGCCUGCUUCGAGAUGAGUAUUCCCACCCCCUUGAGGGGUUAAGGCUCCCAGUAGACGACUGGGUUGAUAGGCCAGAUCUGGAAGCCCGGUAACGGGUGGAGGUGACUGGUACUAAUAGGCCGAGGGCUUGUCCUCAGUUG